rnacentral:rRNA from 1 species
ACGCUCGACACCUACGGGGGGCAGCAGUGAGGAAUAUUGGUCAAUGGACGCAAGUCUGAACCAGCCAUGCCGCGUGCAGGAUGACGGCUCUAUGAGUUGUAAACUGCUUUUGUACGAGGGUAAACGCAGAUACGUGUAUCUGUCUGAAAGUAUCGUACGAAUAAGGAUCGGCUAACUCCGUGCAAGCAGCCGCGGUAAUCUGAGCGGGCUGGCAAGGC